rnacentral:lncRNA from 1 species
CUGGUCUUGAACUCCUGACCUCAGGUGAUCCACCUGCCUCAGCCUCCCAAAGUGCUGAGAUUACAGGCAUGAGCCACUGCGCCUGGCCAAGAGGAUUUCUUGAGGCCAGGAGUUUCAGACCAGCCUGGGUAACAUGGUGAGACCCUGUUUCUACGAAAAAUAAAAAACUAAGUGAGCAUGGUGGUGUGCGAUUGUGGUCCUAGCUACCUGGAAGGCUGAAGUGGGAAGGAUUUGAGCCCGGCGGUUGAGGCCACAGUGACCUGUGAAUGGUGUCACUGCACUCCAACCUAGGCAACAGAGUGGGACCCUGUCUCAAAAACAAAAGAAAAAAAAAGAGUGUUCCACUAAGUUUCCUUGUAAGUGAAUCUGUACAAAAUUAAAAACAGUAAAUGAAGAAGAGUUGAAUAUAAAUUAUAUUAUUUAGGCCAUUGGUUUCAUUUUUACAGACCUUAACACGUGAACGGAAAGAAGGAGCCUUCUCCAAUUUUCCUAUUUCUGAAGAGACUAGAAAGCUUCUGAAAGCAUUUGGCCAUCCAGUGUCAUUGGUCUCAGAGGCCGGCAGUUAUUGGAGAUGUCCUUCAAGUCUAUAGUGGGUCUGAAAGGAGGGCUAUUAUUUUCUGUGAGACCAAAAAGAAUGUAACUGAAAUGGCCAUGAAUCCACACAUAAGACAGAUUUAGAUGAGCGUCCCCGGCGUUGGCGUUGGCGUCAUCGUCCUGGUCUCCGUCCGCCAGGCGCUCCCGCACCCUUGCUGACCCUGCCGCCCGCAGCCCUGGCGCUCCCUGCGGGCCCUGCCGAGGCUGUGCCAGCGCGCGCCCUGAGAGUCGGUGGGCGCCGACUGCGGCCACCGCUUCUGUUGGGCGUGCGUGGUGUGCUUCUGGGCCGAGGAGGAUGGGCCCUUCACGUGCCCCGAGUGCGCCAACGACUGCUGGCAGCACGCCGUGGAGCCUGGCCGGCUCCCGCGUAGCCGCCGCCUUCUGGCGCUCGAGGCGGU